rnacentral:sRNA from 1 species
CAGCACGCGCCUAACGGCGUGC